UUGGUUUCCCCCCACGUUCUCAGUUAUAACCCUCUCCUCAUCCCCUUUUCCUGCAAAGUAAUGGCAUCAAUGAAGACGAAGUGACCAUUGCACCCUUUCCGACAAAUCUUGGGGCUUGCUUUACAAAUCCAACCCUUCGAAGUAGCCCUCCUCCCUCCAAUCUAAUGGUUUAUGACAGAUGGUUGAAGGUUUGAAGGUUUGCAAGAUGGGUCUGCUUUAGUUGAUUUGAAGUUGAUGACAUUACCAGAAUUUGGUUUCCUUAUGUAGGUUUAUAUUGAAGUUGAUGGCAUUACCAGGUUCAUAUACGAGAAUCCUUUCAGAAAAGAGAUAGUAAAAUCUACAUAUAUGUGAAGAAAAUCAUCAAGCUCAUUCAUGAGCAAUUAUUGUGACGUAUUCAGGAUGAAGAUGAUGUUGGACACAGGCUGCAGAGACCAUUUCCAUAUGUAAAAAGCUUGCACGCAAGCAAGAAGAAUCCCAUUAAAGCUACUAAAAGAAUUCAAAAGGCAGAAACGGAGAAAGUGAAGGUGGAUCAUCUAAAUUAACUCUUUCUAGAGUUGGUGGAUGUGCUUGCAGAAGUCACAUAACAAAACAAUUGGAAAGUCUCGAUAUAACUAUUAGAGUUGACAAGGACAUGCUUGAUCAACUCAAGUCUGUUAGGAAGGAGAAGGCAGCUUUGCUAUUCAAGUCAUAUAUGGGACAGGUUGUGUAGUCCCCAAUCGUGGAAGUCUUGAAGCUAUAAACAUCCAGUGCUGCAUCAAUUUUGACAUGUGGUGAUAUUAGGUUAUGGAUGACGAAGACAAUUGGUGGGGUGGGGGGUGGGGGGGAGAAAUCACGGUAUUUGGUUGUGUGGGAUUAACUGUGAGGAUAUAAAUGUCUAUGCUACACAAAAUGUCCAAGAUACCCUUUUUACUUAAUGAUUUGAGGAAAGAUAGUGUAAUAUUUACAUAAAUGCCAUGAUCCUUCACAACCAUUGAUAAAAAAAAGUUGAAUGGCUAAGAUUAAUUUCAA